rnacentral:tRNA from 1 species
GUCGAUAUGUCCGAGCGGUUAAGGAGAUUGACUCGAAAUCAAUUGGGCUUUGCCCGCGCAGGUUCGAAUCCUGCUGUCGACG